rnacentral:rRNA from 1 species
UACGUAGGUGGCAAGCGUUGUCCGGAUUUAUUGGGUUUAAAGGGUGCGUAGGCGGCCCUGUAAGUCAGUGCUGAAAUAUCCUAGCUUAACUGGGAGGGUGGCAUUGAUACUGCGGGGCUAGAGUACAGAUGAGGUAGGCGGAAUUGACGGUGUAGCGGUGAAAUGCUUAGAUAUCGUCAAGAACACCUAUAGCGAAGGCAGCUUACUAGGCUGUAACUGACGCUGAGGAGCGAAAGCGUGGGGAGCGAACAGG